rnacentral:rRNA from 1 species
GAUGAACGCUGGCGGCGUGCUUAACACAUGCAAGUCGAACGGGAAAUAUCUCAUUGAGACUUCGGUGGAUUUGAUCUAUUUCUAGUGGCGGACGGGUGAGUAACGCGUGGGUAACCUGCCUUAUACAGGGGGAUAACAGUCAGAAAUGGCUGCUAAUACCGCAUAAGCGCACAGAGCUGCAUGGCUCAGUGUGAAAAACUCCGGUGGUAUAAGAUGGACCCGCGUUGGAUUAGCUUGUUGGUGGGGUAACGGCCUACCAAGGCGACGAUCCAUAGCCGGCCUGAGAGGGUGAACGGCCACAUUGGGACUGAGACACGGCCCAGACUCCUACGGGAGGCAGCAGUGGGGAAUAUUGCACAAUGGGGGAAACCCUGAUGCAGCGACGCCGCGUGAAGGAAGAAGUAUUUCGGUAUGUAAACUUCUAUCAGCAGGG